AUGAACGCUGGCGGCGUGCCUAAUACGUGCAAGUCGAGCGAACAGACGAGGAGCUUGCUCCUCUGACGUUAGCGGCGGACGGGUGAGUAACACGUGGAUAACCUACCUAUAAGACUGGGAUAACUUCGGGAAACCGGAGCUAAUACCGGAUAAUAUAUUGAACCGCAUGGUUCAAUAGUGAAAGACGGUUUUGCUGUCACUUAUAGAUGGAUCCGCGCCGCAUUAGCUAGUUGGUAAGGUAACGGCUUACCAAGGCGACGAUGCGUAGCCGACCUGAGAGGGUGAUCGGCCACACUGGAACUGAGACACGGUCCAGACUCCUACGGGAGGCAGCAGUAGGGAAUCUUCCGCAAUGGGCGAAAGCCUGACGGAGCAACGCCGCGUGAGUGAUGAAGGUCUUCGGAUCGUAAAACUCUGUUAUUAGGGAAGAACAAAUGUGUAAGUAACUAUGCACGUCUUGACGGUACCUAAUCAGAAAGCCACGGCUAACUACGUG
rnacentral:rRNA from 1 species